rnacentral:rRNA from 1 species
UACAGAGGUCCCAAGCGUUGUUCGGAUUCACUGGGCGUAAAGGGUGCGUAGGUGGUGAGGUAAGUCGGAUGUGAAAGCUCGGAGCUCAACUCCGAAAUGGCAUUGGAAACUACCUUGCUAGAGGGUUGGAGGGGGGACUGGAAUGCUUGGUGUAGCAGUGAAAUGCGUAGAUAUCAGGAGGAACACCGGUGGCGAAGGCGGGUCUCUGGGCAACUACUGACGCUGAGGAGCGAAAGCGUGGGGAGCAAACAGG